AGAGUUUGAUCAUGGCUCAGAACGAACGCUGGCGGCAUGCCUAACACAUGCAAGUCGAACGAAGUCUUCGGACUUAGUGGCGCACGGGUGCGUAACGCGUGGGAAUCUGCCCUUGGGUGCGGAAUAACUUCUCGAAAGGGAAACUCUGGCUAAUACCGUAUACGUCCUUCGGGAGAAAGAUUUAUCGCUGAAAGAUGGGCCCGCGUCCGAUUAGCUUGUUGGCGGUGUAAUGGACCACCAAGGCGACGAUCGGUAGCUGGUCUUAGAGGAUGAUCAGCCACACUGGGACUGAGACACGGCCCAGACUCCUACGGGAGGCAGCAGUGGGGAAUAUUGGACAAUGGGCGAAAGCCUGAUCCAGCAAUGCCGCGUGAGUGAUGAAGGCCUUAGGGUUGUAAAGCUCUUUUACCAGGGAAGAUGAUGACUGUACCUGGAGAAUAAGCCCCGGCUAACUCCGUG
rnacentral:rRNA from 1 species